GUUGAAGAGGACGAAACACACAGGGGCGACAGGUAUAAUGGCCAUAGUUUCAGAUGUUCAGUUCAGAAGGUGUACUCUGUUAUUUCGCAGUUUGACCAGUAGAAACGAGAAAUCAUUAACUCAAUGGGUUGGGGUGGCACUCUAUCCAUGCCUCUGAUCAGCAAACUAAGCGUUAGGGAUAUGGUAUGGCUUCUAGGGACGGUGGAUGAGGUCAGACAAGCCAUUGUACUGGGACCGAAUAAGGUUUUUAAGUUCAAUGAGAGUGAUGUUGAGAAGGUAUUCGGAAUCCCAGCAGCUGGAAUAGAUGUGAUGGACAAAACUCUUGAUAGGAGUGACACUGUAUAUGCAUACUUGCGUGGUCGUUUGGGGAUAAAGAACAAGGAGGUAAGAAGUCUGAAGAGUAUAAAGUCCAUACUGUCACGUGACUACAAGGGGAAGAUGUCACAAACAGAGGUGGCUGCAUUCAAAAUUGCAUACAUCGUAUUCAUGAUGACACAUGUAUUUGCACCGACAGUCAAGAAUGACUACUUCUACACUGAUUAUUGGCCAGCACUGGUCGAUCCGGAUAGCUUGGAUAAGUUCAAUUGGGGAAGAUAUAUUGUUGAAGUACUGUGCGCAGCCGCCGUUAAGAUGAAACAAGAUAUUAACAGGAAAGCCACGGUGUCGAACAUAACAGGAUGUCUGCUCUUUCUACAGGUCAAGACGUUUCAGAUACCUCAUUACUUCAUCAGCACACAGCGCAUGUCCUUCAGACAAUUUGGGCACUCCUGCAAGUUCAGUAGCUGA
rnacentral:rRNA from 1 species